rnacentral:rRNA from 1 species
GUCUAGGGCCAUCCCACCCUGAAUGCACCCGAUCUCUUCUGAUUUCAGAAGCCAAGCAGGGUUGGGCCUGGUUAGUACUUGGAUGGGUUACCAUUAAACUGACAGCAUACGCU